GGACACCCGAGACAGCCACUGCCUUACAAGGCUGCCACAGGCACAGCCGGCCUAUGGACGCAGCUCGACCCAGGGUGCGGUCGCUGUGGAGCGUGGGAACCGGGCGGAGGUUGGGGAAGAGCGUGUGGGGCACACCUGGCCCUGGGGCCCGGGGCGUGUGGCCAGUCCUAAGUGGGGAAGCUGAGGCUGGUGGCGCAGUCGCAGCCUACACUGCGUGCAACCCGCAACCGUUGCUGAUCCCUACGUGCCUAGAGAGCUUGAUGCGCGGGGUGAGAUCGCUGGCCACUCAGGUUAUCUGCACGAAAAGGAUUCUCAGAGUCUCUGCUGAUUUUCCUUCAUUCUAGGAAUGUUUGCCACAGAAUCUCUGACUCUGGCCUGCUCGUCAGUAUGUGCACCAGCUGCAUGCUGGGUGCCCUUGGAGACCAGAUAGGUAAGUUAGAUUUCUUAAAACUGGAGUUACAGGUAAUUGUGGGGUUCCUAAUGUGGGUUCUGGGAAUUAAAUCCAGGUCCUCUGCAGACUUGUAUCAAUACAGUAAAGUUCUAGAGGCCCCUCUGUUAACAACCAUGGUUCAAGAUGUCAGCUUGAUAGGUUUGGAUAGCAUCUUCUGACCUGACCCCACUACAACAUAACAGUUACUAAAGCUUCAAGGCUCUGACCUGCAGACAAUCUGUACAGGGGACCUGCACCAAAUCCAAAUGGAUGUGCCUCUGAAAUCCCAUCUGAAACCAAGAAGAAGCAUGUUAGAGGCAUUUGGCCCAUGGAACAUAAGAGAUGGGCAAGUGGCCCUUUCCACCCAAUAAGUCCUUCAAAGCUCACCAGUGAUUCUCACUGGACUUCUCUAGGACAAACCUUUGCUAGGCUUCUACACUCAUCACAUAUGAAAAACAUAUAUACAUUCUAUUAACCAAAGUAUCACCUUUUAUUUUUGAACUAAAACUCUACAAAUUUAGUAUUAAAACGUUUCAAGCUUUAGGAACCUCAAGUUUUGCUUCUUUUGGCUAAAAACAUUCUUG
ensembl:lncRNA